GACGAACGCUGGCGGCGUGCCUAAUACAUGCAAGUUGAGCGCUGAAGGUUGGUACUUGUACCGACUGGAUGAGCAGCGAACGGGUGAGUAACGCGUGGGGAAUCUGCCUUUGAGCGGGGGCCAACAUUGGGAAAGAAAGGUAAAAACGCCUAAAAACUUUUAAACAAAGUUUUAAGGUUUAAAAAUGCAAUUGGAUUAAUCAAAGAAGAACCCGCGUUGUAUUAGCUAGUUGGUGAGGUAAAGGCUCACCAAGGCGAUGAUACAUAGCCGACCUGAGAGGGUGAUCGGCCACAUUGGGACUGAGACACGGCCCAAACUCCUACGGGAGGCAGCAGUAGGGAAUCUUCGGCAAUGGACGAAAGUCUGACCGAGCAACGCCGCGUGAGUGAAGAAGGUUUUCGGAUCGUAAAACUCUGUUGGUAGAGAAGAACGUUGGUGAGAGUGGAAAGCUCAUCAAGUGACGGUAACUACCCAGAAAGGGACGGCUAACUACGUG
rnacentral:rRNA from 1 species